GCACCAUAUAAGGAUAAAGACUUGGACCAGUGCCCUCCAACAAUCAUGGUCCCUGCCGAGAUCAUCAGAGACUUGACUCCCGACAUCCGUACUUUCGACACUCUCGACCUUGCGGGUCGCAUAUGGUCCGAUGCGGGCUUGCACAUCGGUCGCUUGCACGAUGAUGCGUUUUACCAAGCCGUGACGAGCGCGAUGGGCGGAUGCACCAACUUGAUGUCUCCGCCGAGGAAAUUCAUCCGAUACAUUAGAGAGUUCACUUGGCGUGUGAAAGAAUUAUCGGGGAAGCCCCCGAGCUCCCCCGUAGGCUCUCUCGAUAGCGAAGAUUGAUUGAGCUCAAAAGUGUAUUUGAGCUCAAUGUAUUUCACAAAUGUUGUUUGUGAAUUGUGAGUGCGAGACGGAGUUAUGCUCCUGGGUAGCACUGGACACAUACUCUUAGAUAGCCCUGAGGAUAUUGAGUAUUCGGAAAAUGACUAAAUCAAUCAUGUAUCAUAAUUUAAGAUAUGAUUGAGAUUCCUCUCCAGCGAAGCACAUGACGAUAUUUCUGAUUGCCGAUGCCAGAUUUCGCACGAUCAUUCGUGUGCCAUGUGAGCGGCUAUUCCACGCUCCUUAACGCUGGAGCCGAUUCUCACUCGAAUAAAUUAUGUCAUCUUUA